rnacentral:rRNA from 1 species
CCAACCGGGAUUGCCUUAGUAACGGCGAGUGAAGCGGCAAAAGCUCAAAUUUGAAAUCUGGCGUCUUCGACGUCCGAGUUGUAAUUUGAAGAAGGCAACUUUGUAGCUGGUCCUUGUCUAUGUUCCUUGGAACAGGACGUCAUAGAGGGUGAGAAUCCCGUGUGGCGAGGAUCCCAGUUAUUUGUAAAGUGCUUUCGACGAGUCGAGUUGUUUGGGAAUGCAGCUCUAAGUGGGUGGUAAAUUCCAUCUAAAGCUAAAUAUUGGCGAGAGACCGAUAGCGAACAAGUACAGUGAUGGAAAGAUGAAAAGAACUUUGAAAAGAGAGUGAAAAAGUACGUGAAAUUGUUGAAAGGGAAGGGCAUUUGAUCAGACAUGGCGUUUGCUUCGGCUUUCGCUGGGCCAGCAUCAGUUUUAGCGGUUGGAUAAAUCCUCGGGAAUGUGGCUCUGCUUCGGUAGAGUGUUAUAGCCCGUGGGAAUACAGCCAGCUGGGACUGAGGAUUGCGACUUUUGUCAAGGAUGCUGGCGUAAUGGUUAAAUGCCGCCCGUCUUGAAACACGGACCUCCUGUGUGAAGUGAUCCGCUAA